AUUGAACGCUGGCGGCAGGCCUAACACAUGCAAGUCGAGCGGACGAAGGGAGCUUGCUCCUGGAUUCAGCGGCGGACGGGUGAGUAAUGCCUAGGAAUCUGCCUGGUAGUGGGGGAUAACGUCCGGAAACGGGCGCUAAUACCGCAUACGUCCUGAGGGAGAAAGUGGGGGAUCUUCGGACCUCACGCUAUCAGAUGAGCCUAGGUCGGAUUAGCUAGUUGGUGAGGUAAAGGCCUACCAAGGCGACGAUCCGUAACUGGUCUGAGAGGAUGAUCAGUCACACUGGAACUGAGACACGGUCCAGACUCCUACGGGAGGCAGCAGUGGGGAAUAUUGGACAAUGGGCGAAAGCCUGAUCCAGCCAUGCCGCGUGUGUGAAGAAGGUCUUCGGAUUGUAAAGCACUUUAAGUUGGGAGGAAGGGCAGUAAGUUAAUACGUUGCUGUUUUGACGUUACCAACAGAAUAAGCACCGGCUAACUUCGUG
rnacentral:rRNA from 1 species